rnacentral:rRNA from 1 species
AGAGAAUAGAUACCCUGGUAGUCCUAGCCGUAAACGAUGACCACUAGGCGUGGGAGGUAUCGACCCCUUCCGUGCCGUCGUUCACACUUUAAGUGGUCCGCCUGGGGAGUACGGUCGCAAGAUUAAAACUCAAAGGAAUUGACGGGGACCCGCACAAGCAGCGGAGCGUGUGGUUUAAUUCGAUGCAACGCGAAGCACCUUACCAGGGCUUGACAUGCAGAUGCACCAGCUAGAGAUAGCUGUCCCUUCGGGGCGUCUGCACAGGUGCUGCAUGGCUGUCGUCAGCUCGUGUCGUGAGAUGUUGGGUUUAAGUCCCGCAACGAGCGCAACCCCUAUCGUUAGUUGAAUGGUCUAGCGACACUGCCGCGAUCAACGUGGAGGAAGGUGGGGAUGACGUCAAGUCAGCACGGCCCUUACGUCCUGGGCGACACACACGCUACAAUGGCCGAGACAACGAGUCGCCAACCCGCGAGGGGAGCCAAUCUCAGCAAACUCGGUCUCAGUUCAGAUUGCAGG